AUUGAACGCUGGCGGCAGGCCUAACACAUGCAAGUCGAGCGGAUUAAUGGAGCUUGCUCCUGGAUUCAGCGGCGGACGGGUGAGUAAUGCCUAGUAAUCUGCCUGGACUUGGGGGAUAACGUCCUAAAACGGGCGCUAAUACCCCAUACGUCCUUUGGUCGACAUUGGAGGAUCUUCGGACCUCACGCUAUCAUAUUAGCAUAGGUCGGCUUAGAUCGUUGGUUGGGUAGAGGCCUACCAAGGCGACGAUCCGUAACUGGUCUGAGAGGAUGAUCAGUCAGACUGGAAGUGAGACACGCUCCAGACUCCUACAGUAGGCCGCAGUGGGGACUAUUGGAGGAUGGGCGAGAGCGUGAUCUAGCGAUGCCGCGGGUGUGAAGAAGGACUUAUGAUGCUAGAGUACUUUAAGUUGGAAGGAAGGGCAGUAAGUUCAUCGCUUGCUGUUAUGACGUUACCAACAGAAUAAGCCCCGGCUAACUUCGUG
rnacentral:rRNA from 1 species